rnacentral:rRNA from 1 species
AGUGAACGCUGGCGGUAGGCCUAACACAUGCAAGUCGAACGGCAGCACAGUAAGAGCUUGCUCUUACGGGUGGCGAGUGGCGGACGGGUGAGGAAUACAUCGGAAUCUACUUUUUCGUGGGGGAUAACGUAGGGAAACUUACGCUAAUACCGCAUACGACCUACGGGUGAAAGCAGGGGAUCUUCGGACCUUGCGCGAUUGAAUGAGCCGAUGUCGGAUUAGCUAGUUGGCGGGGUAAAGGCCCACCAAGGCGACGAUCCGUAGCUGGUCUGAGAGGAUGAUCAGCCACACUGGAACUGAGACACGGUCCAGACGCCUACGGGAGGCAGCAGUGGGGAAUAUUGGACAAUGGGCGCAAGCCUGAUCCAGCCAUACCGCGUGGGUGAAGAAGGCCUUCGGGUUGUAAAGCCCUUUUGUUGGGAAAGAAAAGCAGCAGGUUAAUACCCCGCUGUUCUGACGGUACCAAAAGAAUAAGCACCGGCUAACUUCGUG